UUUUAAUGUUAAAUAGUACAUGUUUUAUUGUUUUACUUACUAUAAAAUUAUAACAAUAUAGAACAAACAUUAUCGGUACUAUCCAAAACUAACCAGAUAUAUAUUUUACAACAAAUUAUAAUAGAGUAGUGAGAUAUUCAAAGAUCAUGUCCAUAAAAAAAAUUAAUAUUUGAUGUGCAGUUGAAACAAAUACACCGAGCAUCCCUUGUAUAUUCACAUGCUUAUCAGUUAUGUAAUAAUCAUACAUUUUACUUUUUUCUAAUUCUUUUAAUUGAGUCGCAGUCAUCAUUUGUCGUUUUUCAAGUUUAUUAGCUUUGAUUAAGUCUAUAGACUCAAUCGCCUUCUGAUAAUUAGCUAUUUAUGAUUGACUAAAUUAAAACAAAAAAUUCACAGUAUAAAUGAUGGUGUCUUAGAAUAGAAGUUGCAAAGGGAAAAGAUCGUCUCUCGAGACGUAAAAUGCCACAGACUUAGAGGUAUACAUAAUAUGGUGUGAUAUAACAUUAUGACCUAAUUAAAAAUUGUAUGAAUCUAUUGUCAA